ACUGCGAAUGGCUCAUUAUAUAAGUUAUCGUUUAUUUGAUAGUAUCUUGCUACUUGGAUAACCGUGGUAAUUCUAGAGCUAAUACAUGCUAAAAAUCCCGACUUCGGAAGGGAUGUAUUUAUUAGAUUAAAAACCAAUGCCCUCUGGGCUCUCUUGGUGAAUCAUGAUAACUUCUCGAAUCGCAGGGCCUUGCGCCGGCGAUGGUUCAUUCAAAUUUCUUCCCUAUCAACUUUCGAUGUUUGGGUAGUGGCCAAACAUGGUUGCAACGGGUAACGGAGGGUUAGGGCUCGACCCCGGAGAAGGAGCCUGAGAAACGGCUACUACAUCCAAGGAAGGCAGCAGGCGCGCAAAUUACCCAAUCCCGAUCCGGGGAGGUAGUGACAAUAAAUACUGAUACAGGGCUCUUUUGGGUCUUGUAAUUGGAAUGAGUACAAUUUAAAUCCCUUAACGAGGAACAAUUGGAGGGCAAGUCUGGUGCCAGCAGCCGCGGUAAUUCCAGCUCCAAUAGCGUAUAUUAAAGUUGUUGUGGUUAAAAAGCUCGUAGUUGAACCUUGGGCCUGGCUGGCCGGUCCGCCUCACCGCGUGCACUGGUCCGGCCGGGCCUUUCCCUCUGUGGAACCCCAUGCCCUUCACUGGGUGUGGCGGGGAAACAGGACUUUUACUUUGAAAAAAUUAGAGUGCUCCAGGCAGGCCUAUGCUCGAAUACAUUAGCAUGGAAUAAUGAAAUAGGACGUGCGGUUCUAUUUUGUUGGUUUCUAGGACCGCCGUAAUGAUUAAUAGGGACAGUCGGGGGCAUCAGUAUUCAAUUGUCAGAGGUGAAAUUCUUGGAUUUAUUGAAGACUAACUACUGCGAAAGCAUUUGCCAAGGAUGUUUUCAUUAAUCAGGAACGAAAGUUAGGGGAUCGAAGACGAUCAGAUACCGUCGUAGUCUUAACCAUAAACUAUGCCGACUAGGGAUCGGACGAUGUUAUUUUUUGACUCGUUCGGCACCUUACGAGAAAUCAAAGUGCUUGGGCUCCAGGGGGAGUAUGGUCGCAAGGCUGAAACUUAAAGAAAUUGACGGAAGGGCACCACCAGGGGUAAACCUGACCUGUGAAGCCGCAGUCAACUCUGCUCCAGAAAGCCGCCCGAAAGGGUCGGUGGUGUUCCUAGGGGAGAGCUCUCCCCUAAACUAAUGGCUAGUCCUGCCGCCCGCGGCAGGGCGACACCCUCAAACUGACGGGGAACUCCUAAAGCCCUCGCUCCGGACAGGCGUCGGGAAACCGACGGCCUGCUCACCAGGCUAACGACCUCGGGUAUCGGAAGCAACGCGAGAGGAUGCUACAAUGGACAAUCCGCAGCCAAGCCCCUACGGUGCGGCCUCUACGGGGGUCGCAUACGGGGAAGGUUCAGAGACUUGACGGGGGUGGGUGGCGCGGGCUCUUGGGGUGCAAGCCGCGUGCUUGCUUGCAGGCCCAGGCGCCCGCCGCUGCCUAAGAUAAAGUCCGGGCGUGCGCGAAAGCGUGCGCGGCAACCACGCAACCCGCCGUUUCCAGCGGGUGCGAGGCCCCAGAAGUAAAAACAACCGGGAGCCUGCGGCUUAAUUUGACUCAACACGGGGAAACUCACCAGGUCCAGACACAAUGAGGAUUGACAGAUUGAGAGCUCUUUCUUGAUUUUGUGGGUGGUGGUGCAUGGCCGUUCUUAGUUGGUGGAGUGAUUUGUCUGCUUAAUUGCGAUAACGAACGAGACCUUAACCUGCUAAAUAGCCCGUAUUGCUUUGGCAGUACGCCGGCUUCUUAGA
rnacentral:rRNA from 1 species